rfam:Gossypium raimondii Chr02_contig_1342, whole genome shotgun sequence.
CAUGUCAGCGCGAGUUGCUGACAUGGCAGCAAAUUGCGCCUUCAAGGACGCAAUUUGCUGCCAAGUCAACAACUCGCGCUGAUGUGG